UUUCUUCGGUAAUCAAAUGGUAGCCAGGAA
rnacentral:piRNA from 1 species